CAUGCAGAAACGAAGGGGUGAACCUGGAGUAGAUAGAAAAGAAGGCUGCAGGCUGAGACCCGGUGUCCAAUCGGCCUCGAAUGUGCCGGGAAGAUGGAGCGGUUACAAUGGGGAUGGACCCAGCGGCGCCCUGAGUGCCUCCGCUGGGACCCGUGGUUGAUGCCCGACGCGGUGUAAGGGGACCCUCAGUGUUGUCACAGCGCUCAGUGGAUUAUUCCAGAACGGACGCCCCCUCCCGAAUGGUUUCUUCCCGACUCGAAGGUCUUCCCUCUGCCCCUCAGUGUCUCAUCGCCAGACCCUGAAGAUCUUGAAGGGAGCAAAGGUCUAAGCAUCCUGUUCACUGCAGCAGAGCGUCUGCCCCAAGAAUGAUGUGAGGAGCCCAUAAACAAGCUUUACUUCUCCUGCACCACCGAUGGACAGCAUCGUGGCAGCAUGUAUCAAAGUGAAAAAUCCUUACAAUGCUAGGUUUGGAUUAUCCUCCCACUUUAAGUAACUAAAAAUUUGCACGUGACGGUCUUCAGAUGCACUACAACAGGCAUGCAGGAUGCUGAUACCUGAGAGAAGGGGGAAAAUGAGGUGAGCACUACAGUUUCCCCCAGCUUACUUCCUGGAGAGGAUUUCCAGGCAUCAGUGCAGGGAGCGGGAACCCAGACAGAGGCCAGCGUGUGGGUACGAUAGAGAAGAUGGGGCUGGCGAGACCCCAGACCCUCACCCUGUCUGAGGGGGCAUCCACAAUGCUGCUAUCGCCUACUAUCUUUGUGCAGGAAUGAGACCCCUGCAUGGGCAGGGGUUGUGAUUUUCCCAGAGAAGCUGGAGGUCUGGGUUCUUGUCAUAUUCUGCUUUUUUUUUUUUUAAAUGAUAGAAAUUAAAGUGAAAAAAAUUGUGGUUCAAUCUAUCUCUGUGUAAGUCAUGUAGAACAAUAUGUCUGGGAGCAGGAUUGAGUCUGAGCGCUCCUUUUUGGAGCCCUUUCAGAAGACAGCAGGAGCUCAGGAAAUGGUUUGUGAAGUAAUGAAUGAGUGAAUGAAUGAACGAACAAAUUCAGGAGUUAACAUUAACAUCCAGAAGGGUCCUUGUUCUCAGCCAGUGAUGUUCCCUCUGAUUCCCAUACAGUCCUCUUUCUCCUCCGUUCCUAGGGUCUUCAGUCGACACUCCAAUCCCCCGCAUCGGUAGGCAUCAUCACUGCCCUUCAACCCCUUCGUCCACUCGGUGUAUCUUCCCAGUACUCACUGCCCACAGCAGCCCACUCUGAUUCCUUCUUCCACUUUUCAGCCCCAGCAGAGCCCCAUCUGGAAUAGAUGUCUCCACGGCCUAGCCUGAACACUGGCACUGGUUCUGGCAUUGGGUUCUGACAUUUCCCUGAGUGUUGAUCUCAGCUUGUCCUCUUCAUAUCAGCUGUGUGACUGGUUCAUUCCCUUUCUCUCCCUGUUCCUCCGUCUUCUCCACUGUGAAAUAGUAUCAAUCCUCACAAGCUUUCACGAAGUGUAAAUGAGAUCAUCCCAAUAAGAGUUUUCGCAGGGCCUGGCAC